rnacentral:rRNA from 1 species
GACGAACGCUGGCGGCGUGCUUAACACAUGCAAGUCGAACGGGAUCCCAAGGCUUUUUGUUUUUGGUGAGAGUGGCGAACGGGGUAGUAACACGUGAGUAACCUGCCCCCUUCUUUUGGAUAACCGCAUGAAAGUGUGGCUAAUACAGGAUAUUCCAGGCUGGUCGCAUGAUUGGUUUGUGAAAUGGGUUGGUCUGGUGGGGGAUGGGCUCGCGGCCUAUCAGCUUGCUGGUGGGGUGAUGGCCUACCAAGGCGGUGACGGGUAGCCGGCCUGAGAGGGUGGGCGGGCACACUGGGACUGGGAUACGGCCCAGACUCCGACGGGAGGCAGCAGUGGGCGAUUUUGCACAAUGGGCGCAAGCCUGAUGCAGCGACGCGGCGUGAGGGAUGAAGGCCUUCGGGUUGUAAACCUCUUUCGCUGGGUUGAAUGGCCAUGCUUUGGGUGUGGUUGAUUUGAACUGGUAAAGAAGUACCGGCUAACUACGUG